rnacentral:rRNA from 1 species
CCUACGGGGUGCAGCAGUGGGGAAUAUUGCACAUGGGCGCAAGCCUGAUGCAGCCAUGCCGCGUGUGUGAAGAAGGCCUUCGGGUUGUAACGCACUUUCAGCGGGGAGGAAGGCGGUGAGGUUAAUAACCUCAUCGACUGACGUUACCCGCAGAAGAAGCACCGGCUAACUCCGUGCCAGCAGCCGCGGUAAUACGGAGGGUGCAAGCGUUAAUCGGAAUUACUGGGCGUAAAGCGCACGCAGGCGGUCUGUCAAGUCGGAUGUGAAAUCCCCGGGCUCAACCUGGGAACUGCAUUCGAAACUGGCAGGCUGGAGUCUCGUAGAGGGGGGUAGAAUUCCAGGUGUAGCGGUGAAAUGCGUAGAGAUCUGGAGGAAUACCGGUGGCGAAGGCGGCCCCCUGGACGAAGACUGACGCUCAGGUGCGAAAGCGUGGGGAGCAAACAGGAUUAGAUACCCGGGUAGUC